AUUGAACGCUGGCGGCAGGCUUAACACAUGCAAGUCGAACGAGGGGCGGACGGGUGAGUAAUGUCUGGGAAACUGCCUGAUGGAGGGGGAUAACUACUGGAAACGGUAGCUAAUACCGCAUACCAUCGGAUGUGCCCAGAUGGGAUUAGCUAGUAGGUGGGGUAACGGCUCACCUAGGCGACGAUCCCUAGCUGGUCUGAGAGGAUGACCAGCCACACUGGAACUGAGACACGGUCCAGACUCCUACGGGAGGCAGCAGUGGGGAAUAUGGCACAAUGGGCGCAAGCCUGAUGCAGCCAUGCCGCGUGUGUGAAGAAGGCCUUCGGGUUGUAAAGCACUUUCAGCGGGGAUGCGUUACCCGCAGAAGAAGCACCGGCUAACUCCGUGCCAGCAGCCGCGGUAAUUC
rnacentral:rRNA from 1 species